rnacentral:rRNA from 1 species
GUGAGGAAUAUUGGUCAAUGGGCGAGAGCCUGAACCAGCCAAGUCGCGUGAAGGAUGAAGGUUUUAUGAAUUGUAAACUUCUUUUGCAGGGGAAUAAAGUACGGUACGUGUACCGUUUUGUAUGUACUCUGCGAAUAAGGAUCGGCUAACUCCGUGCCAGCAGCCGCGGUAAUACGGAGGAUCCAAGCGUUAUCCGGAUUUAUUGGGUUUAAAGGGUGCGCAGGCGGGUUGAUAAGUCAGCGGUGAAAGUUUGCAGCUUAACUGUAAAAAUGCCGUUGAAACUGUCGGACUUGAGUGUAAAUGAGGUAGGCGGAAUGCGUGGUGUAGCGGUGAAAUGCAUAGAUAUCACGCAGAACUCCGAUUGCGAAGGCAGCUUACUAAGCUACAACUGACACUGAAGCACGAAAGCGUGGGGAUCAAACAGGAUUAGAAACCCUGGUAGUCC